CAGUCGCCGCGGUAAUACGUAGGUGGCAAGCGUUGUCCGGAAUUAUUGGGCGUAAAGGGCUCGCAGGCGGUUUCUUAAGUCUGAUGUGAAAGCCCCCGGCUCAACCGGGGAGGGUCGUUGGAAACUGGGAAACUUGAGUGCAGAAGAGGAGAGUGGAAUUCCACGUGUAGCGGUGAAAUGCGUAGAGAUGUGGAGGAACACCAGUGGCGAAGGCGACUCUCUGGUCUGUAACUGACGCUGAGGAGCGAAAGCGUGGGGAGCGAACAGGAUUAGAUACCCGCGUAGUCCCUGUCUCUUAUAC
rnacentral:rRNA from 1 species